GACGAACGCUGGCGGCGUGCUUAACACAUGCAAGUCGAACGGAAAGGCCCCCUUGUGGGGUACUCGAGUGGCGAACGGGUGAGUAACACGUGAGUAACCUACCCUUGACUUUGGGAUAACUUCAGGAAACUGGGGCUAAUACCGGAUAGGAGCUCCUGCUGCAUGGUGGGGGUUGGAAAGUUUCGGCGGUUGGGGAUGGACUCGCGGCUUAUCAGCUUGUUGGUGGGGUAGUGGCUCACCAAGGCUUUGACGGGUAGCCGGCCUGAGAGGGUGACCGGCCACAUUGGGACUGAGAUAGGGCCCAGACUCCUACGGGAGGCAGCAGUGGGGAAUAUUGCACAAUGGGCGGAAGCCUGAUGCAGCAACGCCGCGUGCGGGAUGACGGCCUCGGUGUAACGACUUCGUCCUCGUGACGAAGCGUGAGUGACGGUAA
rnacentral:rRNA from 1 species